UGGGGAAUUUUGGACAAUGGGCGAAAGCCUGAUCCAGCAAUGCCGCGUGUGUGAAGAAGGCCUUCGGGUUGUAAAGCACUUUUGUCCGGAAAGAAAUCCUUGGCUCUAAUACAGUCGGGGGAUGACGGUACCGGAAGAAUAAGCACCGGCUAACUACGUGCCAGCAGCCGCGGUAAUACGUAGGGUGCAAGCGUUAAUCGGAAUUACUGGGCGUAAAGCGUGCGCAGGCGGUUUGCUAAGACCGAUGUGAAAUCCCCGGGCUCAACCUGGGAACUGCAUUGGUGACUGGCAGGCUAGAGUAUGGCAGAGGGGGGUAGAAUUCCACGUGUAGCAGUGAAAUGCGUAGAGAUGUGGAGGAAUACCGAUGGCGAAGGCAGCCCCCUGGGCCAAUACUGACGCUCAUGCACGAAAGCGUGGGGGAGCAAACAGGAUUAGAUACCCUGGUAGUCCACGCCCUAAACGAUGUCAACUAGUUGUUGGGGAUUCAUUUCCUUAGUAACGUAGCUAACGCGUGAAGUUGACCGCCUGGGGAGUACGGUCGCAAGAUUAAAACUCAAAGGAAUUGACGGGUCAUAGCUGUUUCCU
rnacentral:rRNA from 1 species